rnacentral:rRNA from 1 species
GAUGAACGCUGGCGGCGUGCCUAAUACAUGCAAGUCGAGCGAACAGACGAGGAGCUUGCUCCUCUGACGUUAGCGGCGGACGGGUGAGUAACACGUGGAUAACCUACCUAUAAGACUGGGAUAACUUCGGGAAACCGGAGCUAAUACCGGAUAAUAUAUUGAACCGCAUGGUUCAAUAGUGAAAGACGGUUUUGCUGUCACUUAUAGAUGGAUCCGCGCCGCAUUAGCUAGUUGGUAAGGUAACGGCUUACCAAGGCAACGAUGCGUAGCCGACCUGAGAGGGUGAUCGGCCACACUGGAACUGAGACACGGUCCAGACUCCUACGGAAGGCAGCAGUAGGGAAUCUUCCGCAAUGGGCGAAAGCUUGACGGAGCAACGCCGCGUGAGUGAUGAAGGUCUUCGGAUCGGAAAACUCUGUUAUUAGGGAAGAACAAAUGUGUAAGUAACUAUGCACGUCUUGACGGUACCUAAUCAGAAAGCCACGGCUAACUACGUG